rnacentral:rRNA from 1 species
UACGAAGGGGGCUAGCGUUGCUCGGAAUUACUGGGCGUAAAGCGCACGUAGGCGGCUUUCUAAGUCAGGGGUGAAAUCCUGGAGCUCAACUCCAGAACUGCCUUUGAUACUGGCGAUCUUGAGUCCGGGAGAGGUGAGUGGAACUCCGAGUGUAGAGGUGAAAUUCGUAGAUAUUCGGAAGAACACCAGUGGCGAAGGCGGCUCACUGGCCCGGUACUGACGCUGAUGUGCGAAAGCGUGGGGAGCAAACAGG